AAAUUUCAUCAAACAUUUAAAGAUUAACAUCGCUUUGAUUCAGUAUUCUCUCUCUCUCUCUCUCUCUCUCUCUCUCUCUCAAAGUUCUUGAUCUCUCUUCCGUUUAUCUUUGAGUUCGAAAUUUUCAUCUGGGUACUGAUAAUUUCAGAAAAUAAUUGCGAUCUUUUCUAGUUCUGCUGCAAAAUUUGAACAUAGGGUGAAAACCCAUUGCUACAAUUUCAAAAAGGAACAAUCUUUGCGUUCCAUAAGUUUCAUUAGUGAGCUACUUGUUUGGUGCACUUGGUUUCAUAAAUGGCCUACGAGUUAAGUGAGCUGAAAAAGGUUGGAAUAGGACUAUUGGGCUGCAGCAUCUUUUUCACAUUUCUGGGCGUUGUUCUCUUCUUUGACAGGGGCUUGUUGGCUCUAGGCAAUAUAUUUUUCUUGUCUGGGGUGGCCUUCUUACUUGGUUGGCAAUCUAUGUGGCGAUUAUUCACAAAUAGAUCAAACUACAAGGGUUCUCUACCUUUUUUUGCUGGACUCUUUCUCAUAUUUGUUCGUUGGCCCAUAGCUGGCAUCAUCUUACAAGUGUAUGGUUCAAUUGUUCUUUUCAGUGGGUUUUGGCCAUCAGCUAAGGUUUUUCUUUAUCAGAUUCCAGGAAUAGGAUGGUUAUGUUCUUGGUUCGUUUAAGGGAGUUAUCCAGUUGAAGAUUUAUUUGAAAUGCUUCUCCCAAUCCAAUUCCAGCGUCUGCUGUUGAAAGUGGAUAAUGCUCUUGAAUUGCUCAAAGAAGACAUUGGUGGGGUCUAGAGUUGCCUAGCAUGCUGAUAAGCUUCCGUUUGUUCUUUCAAUGUUUCUUCAAAUGUAAUUUAGAUUUCUAACCUCCAUGAGUAUCUUCCAUGAAAAUUUCAAUGUAGUUCUAAGUGGAUGCUCUAAUGUUUUGUUAACAAGUGUUUAAGCACUAUUAUCGAGUGUAUUUAGUAAGCAGGAAACUUGUAAAAUGAAAUUGUGCAGUGAACCAUUAAACUUAUGUAAGUUUUAUCAAUUGUUCGCGUGAAGGGGUUAUUACCACAACAAA